AUAUUAUGAAAUGUUAUGAUAAAGUGUAGUAUUUGUUUUUAUCAGCUUAAUAUCUGAUAUGUGGGUCAUCGACCCCACUUGAUAUCAAUUUUAUCUUUUUAUGAGGAAAAAUUUAUUAUCUUAGCUUGGUUAUAUGCAUGGUUCUUCAUGCAUCGCCUUAAACUUUCACUACUGUUGCUACAACUUAUACACUCCUC